CACAUACAACACCUAAAACACACACUAGUUCACGCCAUUUUCAUUUUAGUUUGAGCUCAAGCUUCUGACCUCCGAUUUGAGCACCGAGACGAGCGCCGAUCAUCUUUUCGAUCACGUAUCUAAGUAGGUCCUUUUGGGAAGUAACGACUUGAGGGAGAGAGUGACGUUACUCAUUGAUACAGAGACACAACGAGGUUGAGCUGAUGUGAUGAUGGUGCUGCAAUGAGCGGAGUCUCCAGGGUUGUUAAUAAAUAGUUAACCUGUCUAGAAUAUGUCUUCAUACAUAUGUCUAGCUACUUUCCGCUGCAAGAUGUUGUUGAUGUUAUGUCAUACUUUGAGUCUUAAGAGAAUGGUUGCAUAUGAUGUAUAACUUGAUUAAUGAUAUUAAUUAACUUUUAUGCAGUCUUUCAUAGACUGUUUUCAAUUGAGUAUUAAUGAAUAAAAAUGACGAGUUUUAUUAA